rnacentral:ncRNA from 2 species
CCCGAAAGCAGACGAGGUAACGUACC